rnacentral:misc_RNA from 1 species
GAUGGAACGUAGCGAAAUGCGAUAAGUAAUGUGAAUUGCAGAAUUCAGUGAAUCAUCGAAUCUUUGAACGCACAUUGCGCCCGCCAGCAUUCUGGCGGGCAUGCCUGUUCGAGCGUCAUUUCAACCCUCGACUUCCCUUUGGGGAAAUCGGCGUUGGGGACUGGCAGCAUACCGCCGGCCCCGAAAUGGAGUGGCGGCCCGUCCGCGGCGACCUCUGCGUAGUAAUCCAACCUCGCACCGGAACCCCGACGUGGCCACGCCGUAAAACACCCCACUUUCUGAACGUUGACCUCGGAUCAGGUAGGAAUACCCGCUGAACUUAAGCAUAUCAAUAAGCGGAGGA